rnacentral:lncRNA from 1 species
GUCUAGAAUUAAUUGCUUAGCAUAACUUGCUUAGCAUUAGUAGCUAAAUUUGCUGAAGCCUUAGGCCUCAGGCUGUGAACUUUUACUUAGAUAAGUAAAAGGGGGCCCCAGGGCCUGUUCAAGCUGAAGAGAUAAAGUUGCACGGACGGCAGGAGUAGCCAACCUUGAAGAUAAGAAGUAGCCUGCCUAGAGACAAUGAAGGGGCCCAGUGAAGAAGGGGAAGAACCCAGACCUAACUAUUACUAUUGGUCCAAACUAUCGCUUAAGGGGUGGGGAAUUUAGAUUGUAAGGGUAUAAUUGCCCAGGGAUUUCUUUGUUCGGGGUCCCUCUUUGGAGGCACCCAGCUCGAGCUGUAAUUACUGCACGUGUAUCAUUAAAUUUUAUUUCUCUCCAAUCUGACUUCGAACUUCUGCCUCAGCAGGAACCUAGGGUUGGACCCUGUUAUGGAGGCCGGCGAGCCUGAUUUUCCAUAACAUAAUGAUCUCUCUGUGAUUUAGAGGCUUCUGCUGUAUUAUAUCAAAGAAGAGGAGACCCUAUAUGCUGGAAUUGGGAUAGAAGCCAGCAGGGAAGUUUAAACCUUGGAAAAAUUUCAGAGUUGCCACUUUUUCCUACGUGUAAUGACAGAGGACAUAUUACUGCAUAUUUGCACAACUUAUUCACUAGCUGAAUACCAUCUUGUGAAAACUGUGCCUUCACUUUUGGAGAGCUUGACUCAAGGUGGGCGGGAAAAGAAAGAUGUGCCCAAGCCAACCGUUGAGGUCCAGAUCUCAGCUCCUCCAAAAGAAGGGCUUUUGCCUGAAGGUGUCCCCAGAAACCCCAUGAGCUCCCUCCUCACUUUUGCUUUUUUUGUGACCACAAGGAGAAAUGACACCCUUGGAGAGCUGAUGACAUCUUCAUAAAGGACCUGUCUGGGGAACUUCUUGUAGGAUGAGAUAUAUCUUCUGAAUGUGUUUUUUUGUCCCAUUGACUAUCAGGGGAGCUGUGGUACAUUUGGGCACCUAACCUGUAAACACCUGGUCAGGUGUGAUGCAUGCUAGCACCUGGUUGAGUCAACCCACACCUUCUCCCCCUGAGCUGGAGAGCUGCUGCCUGCUUGGCCCCCGCUCUGCACAUGGGGUGAGAGGCUGCCUCAGUGCCUGGAAACUCGUGACAGUGAAGAUUGGGAAGGAGCACACACUUCUUUUUUUGGGGGGGGGGAUUUUUUUCUGUUGUUCUAUUCCGUUGUCUAAAAAUAUAAUUGAAGUUCAACGCAAAGUCAUUGCCUGAUUCUCCCCUUCAGUUAUCUCAGCGUUAUUCCACUGAGGUAAUGGGAGUUCCUGAUGAUUUCGGCUAACGUACAGGAAAGGAGAAUCAGGCCUCAAAUCAAUCUGGUGUUACAGUACAAAGGGAUUAAACAGAGAAAGGGAGAGAGAGAAAGGGAAGAGCUGAAAUGAAAGAAGUUUGAAAGAAACAAGAAACUGUUGUCUUCGGGGAGCUAUGUACUUUCUCCAGGGAGUUUUGCUACUAGAUAAUCUUUGAGAUGGUGGAACAAGGUAUUUAAAUCUCUGUUCAAAUACAGGAAAAGAAAGAAGAAAGUAAAGAGCCAGCAAAGGAAAAGGUGCCUUUUUUUCUGGCAAAACAAUCUACCUCUUCUGUUAAAAAAAAAAAGUUGCUGUAUCCUACUGAUAAUUAUGCCUUCAGCAAAUGGUCUUUUAAAUUCAAAUGUGUUUUUUUCUGGUGAGAAACCAGCACUUGGCCCUGAAUCUUUUUCUUGCAACCUGAUAAUGUUGAUUUUUGUAUAUGCAUGUGUAUAUAUAUGUAUUUACAUACAUAUAUAAAACUGCUGUGUUUGGCUUUUAUCUGAAUGUUUGUUUUUUGGUGAGAACUGUGCACUUGCCUGUGUAGAUUAGCAGCCCUGACACCAAGAGAGUGUCAGUAAAAGCUUUAUGUUCUCAAAUUGGUGGCACUAGAAUUGUGCCCCAAAACUGAAGCGUCUGCAUUAUUUUUCAGGAUAAUCUUACAGACCUCAAAGAAGUUUGCAGUUUUUUUGUGCCAGGUGUUGUGUGCUAAGAGCUCUGGGUCUGGAAACCUAUGUGGGUAACAGAAGUACUAUGCCAAAAAUGCGGCAACAUUUAAUGAUUUGUGUAUGAGAAGUUUAAUCCUUUAGGUGGGAGGUUUAUAAUUCCACAGCGGAUUAACAGUCUAUGCCAUUGAAAACUCCAUGUUGGUGAUGGAUUUUUUUUAUCUAACCUGGAUUUGGGCCUGCAAACUGUAUUUCUGCAUGAAAAGAUAGAAUCCAAAUAUUCAGGUAUUCAAGCUAGGCAUGUUAAUAUUAAGGCAUUUUUAUGUCUGAGAAAAAAAAAACAACAUCUAAAAAGAAUUUCUGCUGAGUUGAAAACAGAGUUUUUCAUUGGUCCUGAAUUCAGUUCCAAAAAGCCAAGAUAAAACUGGGCAAGAUAGUCUGCUACUGUUUUUUUUUGGUUCACUAUAAUGAUAACUCUGUUGCUAUGAUUUAGCCGCAAAUUAAAAACCGAUUAACCUGUGCAUGGACAGUGAAGUGUACUUUUUAAUAUAGAUGCUACAGGCAUCUAUAUUAAAUCUAGGUACGGGCUCCUCGCCAUUUUGAAAGAUAAGCCAUUUCAUGCCUAACACAAGGGUGUCACCAAAUUUAUCAUCAAAGCUAUUCUAGCAAGUAAUUCACUGGCAAAGGCCCCUCCCCAUUUCCGUCCUCUCCUAUAAUACUUUGUUUUCAGUUCUUAUAAACCUAUGGCUCUGAUCCUGCCCUAGUGCCUGGUAAUGCCCGAACGGCAGAAAUAAUAGCCAGCACUUGUGUGACACUGAAGGGACAUGCAUGCGGGCUAGCACGCAACACUACAAUGAUAUCCUUUAAACUGCCUGCCUGUCAAAGUGCCUUCCAGCCCAGUAGACAUUCAGCUUAAUAAAAUGGGAGUUAGGCUUGUGUUAAUCA